AGAUCACCACGGUGACUUGCAAGCAACUCACUAUGCUUUUGUGUCGAACUAUCAGAAUUUCUAAUUUAGCGAUGAAAGGUUUCUGAGCAUGGUCAAAUACUUGUGAAGUCGGUGUGUGAGUCAAGAUGAAAUUGACCCCUCCGAAUAAGUAGGAGUUAAUAUAUCAAUGUGUUUCAAUUCAGUAAAACCUUGGUCGGGGUAAUCCAUGUGAUGGAUUUUGAAAAUUGAAAUACAAUAUGGAUGACCAUAUCAGAGUUGCAGUUAAACACUAGGUCACCUUGAGCAUUUGGGUUAAAGGGAUGAAUUAUAUGGUA
rnacentral:lncRNA from 1 species